CCGCUGGAUGAUGAGGAGCUAGUUGAGUAUAUUCUCGCCGGCUUAGAUGAAGAAUUCUCUUCGCUAGUUGCUGCCCUGGUAACCAGGGUGGAACCGAUCUCUCUUGAAGACCUCUACGCCCAGAUGCUCAACUUUGAGA